CCUCGUCACGGCGACGUCAGCGAGACGAAACUGGUUUUCACAGUGAUUUGACAGAUAUAUUUGAUUCUGAGAUCAUUGUGAAAGCUGAUUUUGUUCAUUAAUCAUCGAUCGCAGGCAGCA
rnacentral:pre_miRNA from 15 species